rnacentral:rRNA from 1 species
GGAUGAACGCUAGCGGCAGGCUAACACAUGCAAGUCGAGGGGCAGCGGGGUGUAGCAAUACACCGCCGGCGACCGGCGCACGGGUGCGUAACGCGUAUGCAACCUGCCCGUAACAGGGGGAUAACGGGGGAGAAAUUCCCACUAAUACCCCGUAUGGCGGAGGGGCCGCAUGGUUCUUCGGCGAAAGCUUCGGCGGUUACGGAUGGGCAUGCGUGGCAUUAGGUAGUUGGCGGGGCAACGGCCCACCAAGCCUACGAUGCCUAGGGGAGCUGAGAGGCUUAUCCCCCACACUGGUACUGAGACACGGACCAGACGUCCUACGGGAGGCAGCAGUGAGGAAUAUUGGUCAAUGGACGGAAGUCUGAACCAGCCCAUGCCGCGUGCGGGAAGACGGCCCUAUGGGUUGUAAACCGCUUUUCCCCGGGAGUAAUAAGGGCCGUGCGCGGUCCGAUGAGAGUACCGGGGGAAUAAGCAUCGGCUAACUCCGUGCCAGCCGCCGC